UACAGAGGGGGCAAGCGUUGUUCGGAAUUACUGGGCGUAAAGGGCGCGUAGGCGGCCUGCUAAGUCGAACGUGAAAUCCCCGGGUUCAACCCGGGAACUGCGUCCGAUACUGGCAGGCUUGAAUCCGGGAGAGGGAUGUGGAAUUCCAGGUGUAGCGGUGAAAUGCGUAGAUAUCUGGAGGAACACCGGUGGCGAAGGCGGGUCUCUGGGCAAUUCCUGACGCUGAGGCGCGAAAGCGUGGGGAGCAAACGGG
rnacentral:rRNA from 1 species